UACAGAGGGGGCAAGCGUUGUUCGGAAUUACUGGGCGUAAAGGGCGCGUAGGCGGCCUUCUAAGUCGAACGUGAAAUCCCCGGGCUCAACCCGGGAACUGCGUCCGAUACUGGAAGGCUUGAAUCCGGGAGAGGGAUGCGGAAUUCCAGGUGUAGCGGUGAAAUGCGUAGAUAUCUGGAGGAACACCGGUGGCGAAGGCGGCGACCUGGUCCGAUACUGACGCUGAGGCGCGAAAGCGUGGGGAGCAAACAGG
rnacentral:rRNA from 1 species